rnacentral:rRNA from 1 species
GACGAACGCUGGCGGCGUGCUUAACACAUGCAAGUCGAACGGAAAGGCCUGCAGCUUGCUGCGGGUACUCGAGUGGCGAACGGGUGAGUAACACGUGGGUGAUCUGCCUUGCACUUCGGGAUAAGCUUGGGAAACUGGGUCUAAUACCGGAUAGGACAGCUGUUUAGUGUCAGUUGUGGAAAGUUUUUUCGGUGCAAGAUGAGCUCGCGGCCUAUCAGCUUGUUGGUGGGGUAAUGGCCUACCAAGGCGUCGACGGGUAGCCGGCCUGAGAGGGUGUACGGCCACAUUGGGACUGAGAUACGGCCCAGACUCCUACGGGAGGCAGCAGUGGGGAAUAUUGCACAAUGGGCGGAAGCCUGAUGCAGCGACGCCGCGUGGGGGAUGAAGGCCUUCGGGUUGUAAACUCCUUUCGACAGGGACGAAGCUUUUGUGACGGUACCUGUAUAAGAAGCACCGGCUAACUACGUGCCAGCAGCCGCGGUAAUACGUAGGUGGCAAGCGUUAUCCGGAAUUAUUGGGCGUAAAGCGCGCGUAGGCGGUUUUUUAAGUCUGAUGUGAAAGCCCACGGCUCAACCGUGGAGGGUCAUUGGAAACUGGAAAACUUGAGUGCAGAAGAGGAAAGUGGAAUUCCAUGUGUAGCGGUGAAAUGCGCAGAGAUAUGGAGGAACACCAGUGGCGAAGGCGACUUUCUGGUCUGUAACUGACGCUGAUGUGCGAAAGCGUGGGGAUCAAACAGGAUUAGAUACCCUGGUAGUCCACGCCGUAAACGAUGAGUGCUAAGUGUUAGGGGGUUUCCGCCCCUUAGUGCUGCAGCUAACGCAUUAAGCACUCCGCCUGGGGAGUACGACCGCAAGGUUGAAACUCAAAGGAAUUGACGGGGACCCGCACAAGCGGUGGAGCAUGUGGUUUAAUUCGAAGCAACGCGAAGAACCUUACCAAAUCUUGACAUCCUUUGACAACUCUAGAGAUAGAGCUUUCCUCUUCGGGGGACAAAGUGACAGGUGGUGCAUGGUUGUCGUCAGCUCGUGUCGUGAGAUGUUGGGUUAAGUCCCGCAACGAGCGCAACCCUUAAGCUUAGUUGCCAUCAUUAAGUUGGGUACUCUAAGUUGACUGCCGGUGACAAACCGGAGGAAGGUGGGGAUGACGUCAAAUCAUCAUGCCCCUUAUGAUUUGGGCUACACACGUGCUACAAUGGACAAUACAAAGGGCAGCGAAACCGCGAGGUCAAGCAAAUCCCAUAAAGUUGUUCUCAGUUCGGAUUGUAGUCUGCAACUCGACUACAUGAAGCUGGAAUCGCUAGUAAUCGUAGAUCAGCAUGCUACGGUGAAUACGUUCCCGGGUCU